GAUGAAGAACGCAGCGAAAUGCGAUACUUGGUGUGAAUUGCAGAAUCCCGUGAACCAUCGAGUCUUUGAACGCAAGUUGCGCCCGAAGCCAUUAGGCCGAGGGCACGCCUGCCUGGGCGUCACACGUCGUUGCCCCCCCAUCUACUCCUUCGGGAUUGCGGGGGGCGGAUGAUGGCCUCUCGUGCGCCUCGUCGCGCGGUUGGCCUAAAUGCCAAGUCCUCGGCGACGCACGUCACGACAAUCGGUGGUUGCGAAACCUCGGUUGCCUGUCGUGUGCGGUCGUCGCGCAUCGAGGGCUCGAAAAAAUUGCCGGGCUUCGGCUCGACUUUCAACGCGACCCCAGGUCAGGCGGGGUUACCCGCUGAAUUUAAGCAUAUCAAUAGCGGAGGA
rnacentral:misc_RNA from 1 species